rnacentral:lncRNA from 1 species
GGGAGUUGUAUGUUUGUAUUUGGCAUUGUGUUCUAAAAUUUUUAUUACUAUUUACGUUACCAGUUGCACGUCGAUCAUAUACCUACUCUAUAUUUAUAUAUAUCCACAACUUUUAGAAUCACAUUCUCCUGCGAAUUGAAUAGAUUUUUUUUAUUUUUUUUUUGCAUUAAUUAGCACAUACAUAUAUGUAGUAUACUUGAGCUAAACCUCUUCAGCGCUUUUAGUUAAUUCAUCGAAGAAAAUCAGACUUAACACGUUAAAGAUGUUAUUGUCAUGUAUUGGUCAUAUUUGACCAGAAACAUUGGCAUAUUUUGUUCUCGUACGUACGUGUUAUCAUGUCAUUCACAAAUAUACCUAUAUAAUUGGACGGAAACCUUUUUUUUUUGUUUUUGUUGGUAGCAACAACGAAUUAUUAGUCUAUACUCUAUAAUAUUAUAAAUGAAAGAAAAAGGAGAAAAUGUUAGGGAAAAAGGUGAAGAAAGAUUAAAAAAAAAAAAGACAAAUAAAAAGGAAGGGAAGGUGCUAAUUAAACUGCUAAUGAUAGUCGUUGUGAUGUGCUAUAUGAUUAACACUUUUUACAUAUCUUUUUCGGUGCAUUAUUAUAUUGUAAUGAUAUUGGAUUAUAGUGAUCAGACAAGUUAAUUAUGCUUUUUCUAUAAGCAAGGGAAACGUAUUUACAAAAAAA